GACGAACGCUGGCGGCGUGCUUAACACAUGCAAGUCGAGCGGAAAGGCCUCUUCGGGGGUACUCGAGCGGCGAACGGGUGAGUAACACGUGAGUAACCUGCCCUCAACUUCGGGAUAAGCCUGGGAAACUGGGUCUAAUACCGGAUAUGACUACUUCGGGCAUCCGAUGGUGGUGGAAAGUUUUCGGUUGGGGAUGGGCUCGCGGCCUAUCAGCUUGUUGGUGGGGUAGUGGCCUACCAAGGCGACGACGGGUAGCCGGCCUGAGAGGCGACCGCCACACUGGACUGAGACACGGCCCAGACUCCUACGGGAGGCAGCAGUGGGAAGUAUUGCGCAAUGGACGAAAGUCUGACGCAGCGACGCCGCGUGGGGAUGAC
rnacentral:rRNA from 1 species